rnacentral:tRNA from 1 species
GCAGAUAUAAGUUAAGUUUAAACUAGUGGUCUUCAAAACCAAAAAUUGAAUCUGUA